rnacentral:rRNA from 1 species
AGAGUUUGAUCCUGGCUCAGGAUGAACGCUGGCGGCAUGCCUAAUACAUGCAAGUCGAACGAGAGGAAGGAAAGCUUGCUUUUCUGAAUCUAGUGGCGAACGGGUGAGUAACACGUAGGUAACCUGCCCAUGUGCCCGGGAUAACUUCUGGAAACGGAUGCUAAAACCGGAUAGGUAGCAGACAAGCAUUUGACUGCUAUUAAAGUGGCCUUGGCCAUGAACAUGGAUGGACCUGCGGUGCAUUAGCUGGUUGGUGAGGUAACGGCCCACCAAGGCGACGAUGCAUAGCCGGCCUGAGAGGGCGGACGGCCACAUUGGGACUGAGACACGGCCCAAACUCCUACGGGAGGCAGCAGUAGGGAAUUUUCGUCAAUGGGGGGAACCCUGAACGAGCAAUGCCGCGUGAGUGAGGAAGGUCUUCGGAUCGUAAAGCUCUGUUGUAAGAGAAAAACGGCACUCAUAGGGAAUGAUGAGUGAGUGAUGGUAUCUUACCAGAAAGUCACGGCUAACUACGUGCCAGCAGCCGCGGUAAUACGUAGGUGGCGAGCGUUAUCCGGAAUGAUUGGGCGUAAAGGGUGCGUAGGUGGCAGAUCAAGUCUGGAGUAAAAGGUAUGGGCUCAACCCGUACUGGCUCUGGAAACUGAUCAGCUAGAGAACAGAAGAGGACGGCGGAACUCCAUGUGUAGCGGUAAAAUGCGUAGAUAUAUGGAAGAACACCGGUGGCGAAGGCGGCCGUCUGGUCUGGAUUCUGACACUGAAGCACGAAAGCGUGGGGAGCAAAUAGGAUUAGAUACCCUAGUAGUCCACGCCGUAAACGAUGAGAACUAGGUGUUGGGGGAAUAACUCAGUGCCGCAGUUAACGCAGUAAGUUCUCCGCCUGGGGAGUAUGCACGCAAGUGUGAAACUCAAAGGAAUUGACGGGGGCCCGCACAAGCGGUGGAGUAUGUGGUUUAAUUCGAAGCAACGCGAAGAACCUUACCAGGCCUUGACAUCCCUUGCAGAGAUAUAGAGAUAUAUCCGAGGUUAUCAAGGAGACAGGUGGUGCAUGGUUGUCGUCAGCUCGUGUCGUGAGAUGUUGGGUUAAGU